rnacentral:rRNA from 1 species
UACGAGGGGGGCAAGCGUUGUUCGGAAUUACUGGGCGUAAAGCGCGCGUAGGCGGACCUGCAAGUCGGGGGUGAAAGCCCGAGGCUCAACCUCGGAACUGCCUUCGAUACUGCGGGUCUCGAGUCCGGGAGAGGUGAGUGGAAUUCCUAGUGUAGCGGUGAAAUGCGUAGAUAUUGGGAGGAACACCAGUGGCGAAGGCGGCUCACUGGCCCGAUACUGACGCUGAGGCGCGAAAACGUGGGGAGCAAACAGG